UACGGGGGGGGCAAGCGUUGUUCGGAAUUACUGGGCGUAAAGGGCGCGUAGGCGGUACUUCAAGUCAGGCGUGAAAGCCCCGGCUCAACCUGGGAACCGCGUUUGAGACUGGAGAACUAGAGUUCGGGAGAGGAUGGUGGAAUUCCCAGUGUAGAGGUGAAAUUCGUAGAUAUUGGGAAGAACACCGAUGGCGAAGGCAGCCAUCUGGACCGACACUGACGCUGAGGCGCGAAAGCGUGGGGAGCAAACAGG
rnacentral:rRNA from 1 species